rnacentral:rRNA from 1 species
AUGCCCAAGCGGACCAUCGGAGGGAGGGCCGACGCCGGGGCCGACGACAUGGCGCACGAAGCAUCCAAGCACCAUGCAAAGCCGCACAUGGAGAAACCCCUCCCCUCCGGCGAGGGGUCCAGCUGGCAGCAGGGCGGCCUUGAUGUCGUCGACCAUGUCCAGGCUCCGGUGCAGGUGUCACCUCCGCCGGAGCAGGUAGCCGCUCUGGCUCCUCAGGUAGCUGCUCUGGCUCCUCAAACGGAGCAGGUGUCUCCUCUGCCGCGGGUGACGCCUCCUGUGCCCGAGCCUGUGGUCGUCGGCAAUGUCAACAAAGAAAAUGUAGCUCCUCUGGCUUCUCUGCCAGAGCAGGUGGUGGCUCCUCAGCCUCAGCCGGGUGUUUGUCUGCCACGGUUGUUGCCUCCCCUGCCCCCACCUGUGGUCGUCGCCGAAGAGAACGAAGAAGAGGUCCUAAGUGACGACAUUGACAACGACCCAGAAACCCAGAGGAUCUUCAGGAGGCAGAAGGUGAGGCAGCUGGAUAGUGGUGAGAUCGAGAAAGCUGUGAGGCCUAGAUUCAGAAACGGCUACCGAUGCCCUUUCUGCAACAAGGUGAUGAAAGGCGACCUAUCGAGUACCAUCAACCAUGCAGUCGGAACAUCCCAAGGAAGCACCAAGAAUGGCUACGCUUUUAGGGUGAAGCAUGCCGCGUAUGCGACUACUUGUUGA